rnacentral:rRNA from 1 species
UACGGGGGGAGCAAGCGUUGUUCGGAUUUACUGGGCGUAAAGGGCGCGUAGGCGGCCAGCGCAAGUCAGUUGUGAAAUCUCCGGGCUUAACUCGGAACGGUCAACUGAUACUGCGCGGCUAGAGUGCAGAAGGGGCAACUGGAAUUCUCGGUGUAGCGGUGAAAUGCGUAGAUAUCGAGAGGAACACCUGCGGCGAAGGCGGGUUGCUGGGCUGACACUGACGCUGAUGCGCGAAGGCCAGGGGAGCAAACGGG